AACGAACGCUGGCGGCAUGCCUAACACAUGCAAGUCGAACGAUACCUUCGGGUCUAGUGGCGCACGGGUGCGUAACGCGUGGGAACCUGCCCUUAGGUGCGGAAUAACUCCCCGAAAGGGGUGCUAAUACCGGAUAAUGUCUUCGGACCAAAGAUUUAUCGCCUUUGGAUGGGCCCGCGUUGGAUUAGCUAGUUGGUAGGGUAAAAGCCUACCAAGGCGACGAUACAUAGCUGGUCUGAGAGGAUGAUCAGCCACACUGGGACUGAGACACGGCCCAGACUCCUACGGGAGGCAGCCGUGGGGAAUAUUGGACAAUGGGCGAAAGCCUGAUCCAGCAAUGCCGCGUGAGUGAUGAAGGCCUUAGGGUUGUAAAGCUCUUUUACCCGGGAUGAUAAUGACAGUACCGGGAGAAUAAGCACCGGCUAACUCCGUG
rnacentral:rRNA from 1 species